GCGCGUAGCAGCCUGCGGGCCUCAUUCUGCGCAGGCGCGGGGGCGUCCCUUAGCACCUCUGAAGCAUCUGGUCCCUCCCGCGUCUGAGAUUGUCAAGCCGCGCCAGACCCGAGUCUCACGGUCUGAGGGCCUCCCGGGUGACACAGGCAGAGUGGCCGAGGCUGUGGAGCAGACCCACCGGGAGCCAGAUGAGCAGAGAGGUCUGCGUGCACACCUGGCCGUGCUCCUACUACUUAGAGCUGGACAAGCGAUGGGUCCCUGGAAAGCUUUCCUUAACCUCCUGCUCCCUGAAGUUUGCGGCUGAUGAGGCCCAGGAGACGCUGGUGAGUUUCCCGCUGUCUGGCAUCACUGCAAUCAAGAAGGAGGCUUCUCACUUCGUCUUCAGCUCCAUCACCGUCCUGGAGAAGGACAACCGCAAGCACUGGUUCAGCUCCCUGCAGCCCAGUCGCAAUGCCGCAUUCAGUGUCAUCGAGCAUUUCUGGAGAGAGCUGCUGCUCUCCCAGCCGGAAGCACCGCUUCCUGCGACCAAGGGGAAGGAGCUGACUGGCCUCAUGGCCUGUUCCCAGAAGCGCCUGGAGGACACGGCCAGAGUCCUCCACCAUCAGGGCGAGCAGCUGGACAGCAUCACCAGGGGCCUGGACAAGAUGGAAUCCGACCUGGACGUGGCUGACAGGUUGCUGACAGAGCUGGAGUCCCCUUCCUGGUGGCCCUUUAGCUCCAAGCUUUGGAAGAUGCCAUCAGAAACAAAGCUUAAGGGGGACGCUUCAACGGCUAGUCCCAGAGCUCUUGGGAAGGAAGGGGUAGUGGUCAGAAUUCCUGCUGUUGUCUCCCAGAGAACAGCAUCCCAUGUCAAACCAGGGAGUCUCACUGUCCUAGUGUCUGGACUGGAAAUCCAUGAUUCGAGUUCUGUGCUCAUGCACAGGUUCGAAAGAGAAGACGUGGAUGACAUUAAGGUUCACACGCCCUAUGAGAUCAGCAUCCGCCAGCGGUUCAUUGGGAAACCUGACAUAGCCUAUCACUUGAUAUCUGCCAGGAUGCCAGAGGCCAUCCCCGUUUUGGAGGUGCAGUUCAGCAAAAAGAUGGAAGUGUUAGGAGACGCCCUGACACCCAGCAGCACCAAAACCUCCUCCCCAGCAGAGAAGGGCUGCUCCAUGUGGCACACAGCGUCUGGGCUGAUGGACCGGGCCGUGCACCACGAGCCCUGCCCAGGCAGCCAGGACGGCCAGCCACUCCAGCUGCAGACGACCCAGCCGUUCAUUUCCGAGGGGGACGCCCAGGAACUGAGACAGAUGCCGUUACAGUUGUUACGUGGAAAGCAGUUCGGAUGCUGACAGAGACGACCGGCUGUGGUUUCCCCGGGGCCAGCGUGCUCAGCGCAGUGGGCCAGCUCUCACCGCGGCGGCCACUGUCCACGGGGACUGGAAGAGGCACCGGAUUCCCUGGACGGGUUUGGCAGAGCGCCGUGAACCAUGUCUCGCGUCUGAUGCGCUGGCCUUUCCUGCCUUGGGACUGCGGCCUGUUUGUCAGGACAGCAGUGUCCGCUGCCUGCUGGAUGCAGUUCUCCCCUCGCUGGGAGUUUUCUCCAUCAUGUCUUAACCCCCACUGCCCUGUCUGCUCCUGAUCUAGCUUUCCCUGUUGACCGUGGUACAGGGACCGCAGCCUGACGUGUAGCCACAGACGUGGCAAAGGAGGGUUCACCACAUGCUCCUGCCCUUCCUAUAACGGGGUGCAGGGUGAGGACCUGGGCUGUGAGCUCACGGUCCCCAUUCUGGGGGUGGGGGUGAGGACCCGGGCUGUGAGGUCACAGUCCCUGUACUGGAAGUGUGGGGUGAUGAGGACCCGGGCUGUGAGCACACGGUCCCCUUUCUGGGGGUACAGGGUGAGGACCCGGGCUGUGAGCUCAUGGUCCCCAUUCUAGGGGUGCAGGGUGAGGACCCGGGCUGUGAGGUCACAGUCCCCAUUCUGAGGGUGUGGGGUGAGGACCCAGGCUGUAAGGUCUCGGUCCCCAUUCUGGGGGUGCGGGGUGAGGACCCGGGCUGAGGUCACAGUCCCCAUUCUGGGGGUGCAGGGUGAGGACCCGGGCUGUGAGGUCACGGUCCUCAUACUGGGGGUGAGGGGUGAGAACCCGGGCUGUGAGGUCACGGUCCCCAUACUGGGGGUGAGGGGUGAGGACCUGGGCUCUGAGGUCAGUCCCCAUACUGGGGAUGCGGGGUGAGGACCCAGACUGUGAGGUCACGGCCCCUGUUCUAGGGGUUUGGGGUGAGGACCCGGGCUGUGAGGUCACGGUCCCCGUACUGGGGGUGCGGGAUCCUGAGGAAACUCAAGGGUCUUGCCCUGGACACCGAGGCAGAGCUGGAGAGGCAGGACGAGGCCCUGGAUGACAUCACCGCCGCCGUGGACCGGACCACCCUAAC